UACGUAGGGUGCAAGCGUUGUCCGGAAUUAUUGGGCGUAAAGAGCUCGUAGGCGGUUUGUUGCGUCGGCUGUGAAAUCCCGAGGCUCAACCUCGGGUCUGCAGUCGAUACGAGCAAACUAGAGUGUUGCAGGGGAGACUGGAAUUCCUGGUGUAGCGGUGAAAUGCGCAGAUAUCAGGAGGAACACCGGUGGCGAAGGCGGGUCUCUGGGCCGAUACUGACGCUGAGGGGCGAAAGCGUGGGGAGCGAACAGG
rnacentral:rRNA from 1 species